UACGUAGGUGGCAAGCGUUGUCCGGAAUUACUGGGCGUAAAGGGCGUGUAGGCGGCCUUUUAAGUCAGACGUGAAAACCCUGGGCUUAACCCAGGACCUGCGUUUGAUACUGAAGGGCUUGAGGACCGGAGAGGACAGUGGAAUUCCCAGUGUAGCGGUGAAAUGCGUAGAUAUUGGGAGGAACACCAGUGGCGAAGGCGACUGUCUGGACGGCACCUGACGCUGAGGCGCGAAAGCCAGGGGAGCAAACGGG
rnacentral:rRNA from 1 species